CCUACGGGAGGCAGCAGUGGGGAAUAUUGCGCAAUGGGCGAAAGCCUGACGCAGCGACGCCGCGUGAGGGAUGAAGGUCUUCGGAUUGUAAACCUCUUUCAGCAGGGACGAAGCGAAAGUGACGGUACCUGCAGAAGAAGCACCGGCUAACUACGUGCCAGCAGCCGCGGUAAUACGUAGGGUGCAAGCGUUGUCCGGAUUUAUUGGGCGUAAAGAGCUCGUAGGCGGUUAGACACGUCGGAUGUGAAAACUGGGGGCUCAACCCCCAGCCUGCAUUCGAUACGGUCUGACUAGAGUGUGGUAGGGGUAACUGGAAUUCCUGGUGUAGCGGUGAAAUGCGCAGAUAUCAGGAGGAACACCGAUGGCGAAGGCAGGUUACUGGGCCACCACUGACGCUGAGGAGCGAAAGCGUGGGGAGCAAACAGGAUUAGAUACCCUGGUAGUCCACGCCGUAAACGGUGGGCGCUAGAUGUGGGGACCAUUCCAUGGUUUCUGCGUCGCNGCUACGCAUAGCGCCCCGCCGUCGGGAGGUACGGUCGCGAGACAAACUACAAGAAGUAGACGGCGUGAGACGUGCCGACGGACGACGACGAGGGAGGUUAGG
rnacentral:rRNA from 1 species